AUGGAAACCCAUGUGAUGACGGUGCUUGCAAAUAUUUUCAGCCAUGGAAUAUGUGAUGUAAGGUGCAGGGGAGUAUGCGUGUCCCCAUUGGCAGAGAUCCCUGCUUUUGAAAUUUUUCCGUUUAAAAUUCAGAUAUGUCGAGUUAAGUAAAAUUCAGUGGUGAAGAAAGUCUUACGAUGUACAAUUAUUUUAGUGUAAAUCUCCGUUGGAAAAAAAAUCAGUUAGUAAAGAAGGAAUACAUCAUCCUUUUUGUUAUAACAAUGUUUAUGAUACUUUGUUGCAGAGAACAAAGGGGUUGUAAGAUAUAUGGCAUAACAUGAUAAAAAACAAUGAAAUCUUAGGUAAAGAGAUAUGCUUGCUGCUCCGGUAUCAAGUGAAGACCUUGGUUCAAUAUGCUUGUCCAGCGCCUGAAGUAUUUGGAUGAACAGUAUGUCAAUGUCAACCUACAUGAUGAUGACUUUUUCUACGCCGAGCAUUGUGAUCAAGAUGUCAAAGAAAAAAAUCCCUGUUGUGGUGUGUGCAUUAUGAUUAUCCUUAUACAGUGGGCACAACUACUUGCUGUCCGGAUAAGCUUACUCCUUAAUACUACUCUACAUUUAGGAAUGCAGUGGGUAUGUGGUGUUUUUUUUCUGAUGUGCAGAGUGGUGCAGUUGGAUAGUUGUUCAAGAUAAUUUUGCCUGAAGUUUUGAUAUAUUUUUAUAUUUUGAUAUAAUGUGAUCUGCCCAAAAAAUAGACAAAUAUGAAAAUUAUAUGGUCAUUGGACGAUCUGGUUAAUUGCCAUUCAAAGACAUGAGAUCAAAAAAAUGUUUCCUUGAUGUCCACUUUUAAUGAGCUAAUAAUAAUUAUCUUUUGGCCUUGUUUUAGUUGAACCGUGCAUUGCGCAUUGCAUUCGAGGUUAUUAAUUGUUUGGGAUGAACAUUCAAUUUCUUUUCAUGUCAUUUCUUGAUGAUUAGUUCCACUGAC